UGCUUGAUUGGAAAUUUCUCUAUGGGACUC
rnacentral:piRNA from 1 species